UAGAGAACUUUGGGAUUUUCUAAUUUAGUCCUUUUAGACUUGCAGAUGAGGAAAGUGAAGAACCAGAGGUUUUACAGGGGUGCUUAACACAUGAGCAUAAAGGUAUCUUGUUUUAGAUCCUGGCUCUGCUACUAUCUGUGUGACCUUAGGCCUCUAAAGUUCAGCUUCCUUACCUGUGAAAUGGUGGCAACGAUACAUAUCUUUUGGAGGUUUUGUGAGGAUUGAAGGAAGUAUGCAUUCAGCACAGUGACUGGCACAUAGGAAACACCCAGUGAAUGGUCACCAGUUUUACUGGAUAUUACAGGACGGAAGUUUUCUGAGCUAUCCUGGGCUUUUUCUGCUCUUGUGUCCCUGUAGAAGAAAUUCACCACAGAAUUUCUUAGAGCCUUAGUAUUACAUUGGACAGAAAGUAACAACCAACCAAUCUAUCCCCAACCUGAUGCUUUUCACCAAUUCUGGAGGAAGUUCAGGCAACUCCAACAACCAGUUCUGUUACACAGCUUUGGAAACUUGUCAGGAAUUUCAAAAGCUUUAUCUGGUAUCACAAAAAUGGCCCUGAAGGCAAUAUUCUGUUAGCUCUGCACUGUCCAAUAAAACUUUCUUCGAUGAUGGAAA